rnacentral:rRNA from 1 species
GACGAACGCUGGCGGCGUGCUUAACACAUGCAAGUCGAACGGAAACGCACUUUUGGGGUUCCUCGAGUGGCGAACGGGUGAGUAACACGUGAGUAACCUGCCCUUGACACCGGGAUAACUUCAGGAAACUAGGGCUAAUACCGCUUAGGCAUCCUUGCAGCUUGGUGGGGGUUGGAAAGCUUCUGGGGGCUUGCAUGGACUCGCGGGUUAUCGGCUUGUUGGUGGGGUAGUGGGUUACCAAGGCUUUGACGGGUAGCUGGACAGAGGGGGCGAGCGGCCACAUUGAGUCUGAGAGACGGCCCAGGCUCCUACGGGAGGAAGCAGGGGGGAAUAUUGCUCCAGGGGCAGAGGGCUGAUGCAGAGAGCCCGCGGGCGGGAUAGCGGCCUUCGGGUUGUAAAACGCUUUCAGCAGGAGAGAAGCUUGUGGUGACGGUACCUGCAGAAGAAGCACCGGCUAACUACGUG